rnacentral:misc_RNA from 1 species
GAACGUGCGAAACGUAAUGUGAAUUGCAGAAUUCAGUGAAUCAUCGAAUCUUUGAACGCAUCUUGCGCUCCUUGGUAUUCCGAGGAGCAUGCCUGUUUGAGUGUCGUGAAAUACUCUCAAUUUCAAUCUUUUUGUUUGAAAUUGGAUUUGGAUGUUGUUGUGGAUCUUGCUACGACUCAUCCUAAAUGCAUUAGCGAUCUGCCUUGAUCACACACAAUGUGAUAAGAUGAGCAUUGUUAUCAUCAAGUCAUGACUGCUUCUAACCGUCCCUUUGGGACAAACGUCUUAUGUCGUUUGACCUCAAAUCAGGUAGGACUACCCGCUGAACUUAA